rnacentral:rRNA from 1 species
GAUGAACGCUGGCGGCGUGCCUAAUACAUGCAAGUCGAGCGGUAAGGCUCCUUCGGGAGUACACGAGCGGCGGACGGGUGAGUAAUACGUAGGAACGUACCCCAAAGUGAGGAAUAACCAGCCGAAAGGUUGGCUAAUACCGCAUAUGCUCUACGGAGUAAAGCAGCAAUGCGCUUUGGGAACGGCCUGCGUCCGAUUAGCUAGUUGGUAAGGUAAAGGCUUACCAAGGCGACGAUCGGUAGCUGUUCUGCGAGGAUGAUCAGCCACACUGGGACUGAGACACGGUCCAGACUCCUACGGGAGGCAGCAGUAGGGAAUUUUCCACAAUGGGCGAAAGCCUGAUGGAGACACGCCGCGUACAGGAUGAAGGCCUUAGGGUUGUAAACUGCUUUUAUCUGUGACGAUUAUGACAGUAGCAGAUGAAUAAGGAUCGGCUAACUCCGUGCCAGCCGCCGCCGUAA